CAGGAAGGACACACAUGGAGCAGUGAGGGAGGAAGGGGACACCUGCUCAGCCAGCCGGAGCAGCCAAGUCCGCGCUGGUGAUCAAUGGGGUGACAGAUGCGGCAGCCAGAUCGCCCUCGCAUCCGUAGCGUAGUAUCCUCUUGCCUACCCAGAGCACAGUGUGUGGCCAAGGCCCAGAGAUCCCACGGUGGAAGCCUCGAGAUAACACCGCCGUGCACGCUGCAUUUGGCUGUGCAGAGAAGCUGACUCGUUGCAAGAUACCCGGCCUCCUCAUUUUCUUCAUGAAUGGGAAAUUGUUCUGGCUCUUCAAUUUGCCUCCGAGUUUGGGGUCCACGCCGAGCGAAUUGUUUCCAGGCCGGCCCCGAGCCAUCUUUGUGUCUCACAGGGGGUCAGCCUGGUCCAGGUCGUGCAAGCUUGCUUUUUAUUUUCAUUGUCCCGGCCGUGGCGGGCUUCCCCCACCCCUACCUCCAUCCACCUCCAACUCAGGGAAAACGCAGAGACGUCAGGCAAAUCCGGCAGGCUCUUCCCCAGCCUGUAGAUGACCGUCUGCUCCCACUCACACGCGUGCUAAGACAGGCCUUUGCUCAGAGCCCCAUCCUGGCAGAAACUGGGACCCCACUGCCCUCUCCUGCUGCCUUCCAGUGUGAGUCUCCGAACUGUCGUCCAACCGGGAGAGGCAAAACUGAGACGUGUUCAUCGCACAGCAGGUAUUUAUUGAGCACUUACUGUUUGCCCAUUCCAGGCUUAGCCUGGUAGUGAUUCCAGAGAUGGGAAAGCCCAGUUUCGGCCCACCAGGAUCACAUCACGUAUGCAGUAGGCUGUCUCCAGGCAUGAAGAGAAUUUCCAGUUGAGGAGGAUAGGGGUUUAAGAAAUGUAAGGCGUUCAAGGAAAAACGGGAUUGGGGCAAGGAGGUUGAGAAUGAGCCUUUUCGAAUAUUUGUGUGUUCACUAAGGUACGGCGGAAAGGAGACACUAACAGACACUAUCAGUAACAUUUUACACAGUUCAAAUUAAUAAUAAUCGGCACUGUACCGGGAGAUUCCAAUUUCCAUUUCCAGUUUCCUUGUUCACUAGAAACUUCCUAUGAUUUCCCUUCCCUCUCCCGCAGUUUCCAUGAUAUGCUUGUAAAUUUGCUUUGCUUUGUCGCCGAUGAUGCACACCUAAGAGGGGUUUUACUUUCUGUAUCUCUCCUCCUUCCAAAUGUCCAAUGCUUUGUCCAUUCGAUGACAUCCCAGUGGCAGCUGCCACUCCUCCUUGGGGUCUCAGCCCCCCCAGAAUGGGGAUUCCCCUUCCUCCCCCCCAAGCCCCCAAUGAAUCCAGAUGGUUGAGACUGCAAAGGCUGGGGGUGCCCUGUGUUCAAGUAUUUCUCAAUCCCGUGUGGCUCAUAAAUACUUAGGACUGUGGGAUGUGGGCUCUGUCCCUGGGUACACGUCUUGCCAAAGCACGUGGCAUCAGCUCCUCUGACCCGGGCGCCUCCUGCCCCCAAGCCAAGGGACUCCUGUUCUACGGCUCUGUUUGCUCCUCUUAUCUUCCUUCAUCUUCUCCAAGGCAGCACUGAAAUCCUUCUAUUUUUUUCUUCUGACCCAUCUGCUUCACAUGCCCUUUAUAUUCCUAAUCCCCAAUUCCCUCAUCAUCUAGGAGGCA